rnacentral:lncRNA from 1 species
GGCUUGGGCUUCUGCCAUCUUCUUUUUCCUUCUCUGGAUCACAUUCUUGACGCUUGCUUGUUUGGCAGGCAGAUUUACGUGAUCUGUUGUAAAAAUAAGCCAUCAAUUACACAUAGAAUCAAUUCUUUUGCCAUCGGAGGAAUGCAAAAACUACAACCUUUAGCUUUAGUGAUUUUUCUCUCCGACGACAAACCAAGGAUCUGGAAAAGAUUAUGUUGUAGAGCCAGAACGAAGCAAGACCUGUCAAAGGAGAACAAAACGAAUCUCAAAGGUUCAAAUGCUGGGUAACAGUAUACCUUCUGGCAGAUAGGACGCUGCUUGGUGUUCGUCUUGAAGCUGCCACUACAAAUCAAUCAAACAUAAGAAAAUAAUUACCAAUAGUUCCUGUCUCCAGGAUCAAGGAAGGGUGCUAUUGUGUUACUAUUUAAACGAGUUCCAAGGAAGCAUAGUCACAUGGCCGUUGUUUCAUUUCCAAGACGAUCGAAAACGGAUCUCUGGACAGAUGGAAAUAUUUAGCAAAAAAAGUUUUAAGCAACAUUUCAGCACUGUCGUUUACCGAGGAAGAGAUCUUGUUUGAUCAGAGUGAAUGAACUCGUGCCGUAUUGCGAAUCGCACCCAGCAUCCAAAUCAGAACGCAAUGCCUCUAAGGACAUAUUGGACCUGUGUGCUUCGACAUCGACAAGUGCCAAAGAUAUGGAUCGUAUUAUCAAAGUGAGAAUUCUUCUCGUCGCUGCCUCUCUCUCGGCUUAGACACUUGGAAGAAAACGCGGACGUCAGCAAAAAGAGGAAGCAUCCAAAGAACUUAACACUCACCUGGCAUGAGAGCAGUUUGAGAGCAAAACAUAGCGUCAUAUCGUCGAGCAAUCUCAGCGGCACUAGAUCGGGCCCCCAUAAAGAUAGCCAACGCUUUCCGCAGCCUACUUGCAUUCCUCCCAGUUCUAACUGGCAAAAGCUGUACUAGCCCUUGUCUGUUUCAGCCUGUCACUUUUACACGGUAAGACGACGGAAACAAGCGUGCAUAUCAUACCGCUAGCUGUUGGAAAUGACGUUGAACCGUGUGAAACCACUUCAAAAAAAUUCCGCCCUCCGACUGGCAUCUUGCCGAGUGUCUCGUUGUCUCUGAGCCGAAGGAUACACAGUUGUACGCUCCUGUUCCUGAGCUCUGACGUAAAACCAACUUUGAGAGCCCGGAUCAGCUGUGGAGGGCCCGAUUCCUCCGGCCAUAUCCAGCUUUGAUUCACGCAGACAAAACGAGUAGAAGUCCUUCACCGCGAGUCUUUGCUAUACUUCAUGUGAGUAGAAUUCCGUGACGAAGUCCCGGGGAUUUGAGAUGAAUUGCCUGAAAAUUCAAUGUGAGUCCAUUGAGUCGAAAGAUAAAAAAAUCUUUCUUUCUUUACCGUUUGAUAGAGUCAUUCCUCAAUUACAAUGAGCGCUAUAAAGGGAAUGCUCUCCAUAAGAGCCACCAUACCGAAGAUCUCGUGGACAGAAAUCCGCGGAAAUGAAUAGCAGGCACUAAAUCUGCGCAUUGAUUGACUCUCGGGGAAUGCCUACUCGCACAAGCGGCAGGAAAUAUUUCCCUGGAAAGACGCACUGGAUACCUCGAUAAUCUCUGCAAGAUCGCCAGUGCCGCGAACGAUCGUGAAUGUAGCUCGCGAUCGAAAAAGAACCGAUCGAAGCCGGCAAGAAUCCAUACCUCGUCCCUCCGCCGCGCUCAUUCCCUGUGCGCCAAAACCCCUAAAUCCUCCCA